rnacentral:rRNA from 1 species
UACGUAGGAUGCAAGCGUUGUCCGGAAUUAUUGGGCGUAAAGAGCGCGCAGGCGGUAUGACAAGUCAGAUGUGAAAGAGGCCGGCUUAACCGGCAAGGGUCAUUUGAAACUGUCAGACUAGAGUGCAGCAGAGGAUAGUGGAAUUCCCGGUGUAGUGGUGAAAUGCGUAGAUAUCGGGAGGAACACCGGUGGUGUAGACGGCUCUCUGGACCGCCACUGACGCUGAGACACGAAAGCGUGGGUAGCAAACAGG